AACUCUCCCAGAGCACUGGAGCAUGGUGCUGCUGAUGCAAAGUGGCUCUCUAUGGAAAUGCUCUGACUGACUCCAACAGGGACCUGGAUUACUCUGAUAAACUGAUUGAUCCAUUGAUAAUCAGCAUCAUCAAAGUAUUAUUUCAGGACGUUUAAAUACAGUUUUUAUUAGGUUUUCCAUCUUGAAAACUUGGUCUCGAAAUGUUCGAUUCAGGGUCCCAAGAGCCGGCCGGAAAAACUAUAAAAGUCUCUUAUUACCUGUUACAUAUAGGUGUUGAUCACAGGAUGACUGCAUCAGACACUUGAUAUGUUAUUUGCCUCAAUGUAUUGUUUGUAUAACUCAUUGGCUGCUACCUGCCCAUUAGUACAAUUGUAUUUAUAUGAUUAUGUGUAUUGUCUGUUUUUAAGGUGUGAUGAGUUAAAGGCAUUGUAUGUACCUGGAGAAGCCAAAGACAUUCUUCCAAAGAAGUCAAUCUAAGCUAAUUUAAUAUCUGUAAAAUAAAACAAAUAUACUGUAUUGUAUAAAAAUGUGCAUUAGGAAAUCUGUUGUUGUUAUCAGUUUUCAUGUUAUCUGUAAAAUCUUCUAACAGAGACCUAUCUUGGUGAGUUUGUUUGUGUCAAAGUCAGAGAGCCGUGUCUCUCUACAGUGAGAGGUUUUUGUACGGCGGCUCAAUGAGUUUGUAUCACUGUGGUACACGUUCGGUGGAGGAACCAGACUGGAUGUUGGAAGUAAGUCAAAUAUCUUACAUUUUUAACAAUUCUAGCCAUCUGUCUUUCUGUUUUUAUAUAUUACACAGUCCAGGAAAAAGAUAGCUGCUUUACCAUUUUUGUGGAUACGUUUUUGACAAAGACUUUGCACUCAGAGACUUCAGCAACAUAACUUCAAAAACUACUUUUAAUGAAAAAAAUGUUUUUAAAUAACAGGAUGAAUGAUUAUUACCAUCUUCAGUGGUAGUGUUGCAUCUUUAGGGCUUGUAGGUUUAGUUCAGUCAGACAAAGUCAGAGAGCCGUGUCUCUCUACAGUGAGAGGUUUUUGUACGGCGGCUCAAUGAGUUUGUAUCACUGUGGUUGACUUUUGGUGGAGGAACCAGACUGGAUGUUGGAAGUGAUGCCCGUCCCACCCUGACGGUGCUGCCCCCCUCCACUGAGCAGCUGCAGCAGGGGAAGGCCACGCUCAUGUGCCUGGCCAACAAGGGCUUCCCCUCAGACUGGAGUCUGGCCUGGAAGGUGGACGGCAGCAGCAGCAGCAGCAGCAGCAGCAUCAGCUGGGAGCAGAGCAGCAGCCCCGGGGUGCUGGAGAAGGACGGCCACUACAGCUGGAGCAGCACCCUGAGGCUCUCUGCAGACCAGUGGAGGAAGGUGGGCUCUGUGACCUGUGAGGCCACCCAGGGCUCCCAGACUCCGCUCUCAGAGACUCUGAGGAGAGACCAGUGUCCCCAGUCCUGAUCUGACUCACUGGUUUUACUCUGCUACUGCUCUCAGUCUGCACUCUUUCUCUGUUUCUCUUAUGAUGUUUCAACAUUAACUUGUUCUUGCUUGUGUUGUUAGUUUUAACAUUUUCAAACAAUAAAGAAUUCCAUCGUAGAUUAUAAAAGUGACGGGUCUUUUGAAUUUCUUUCUUUCACAAGUGUGAAUCAGAUUAAUGCGCCAAAGUGACAAUCGUAAGAAGUACAUUUUCUCCUGAUUCAUUUUCAAUUGUUUUAAGACUGUAGACAUGCAGCAGCCAUUUCUAUGGUAAAUCACAAAGCUAUAAUGGUGCCCCGUGUGAGGCAUUGUACAGUUGGCAAUUGUUCUGCACUUUGUAACUCUCUCUUCGUUAUUGCUAGUGUUCAACAUUUUAAAGCAAUAAAAAUUUG